CCUUCGGGUUGUAAAGUACUUUCAGCAGUGAGGAAGGUGGUGCAGUUAAUAGCUGUAUCAUUUGACGUUAGCUGCAGAAGAAGCACCGGCUAACUCCGUGCCAGCAGCCGCGGUAAUACGGAGGGUGCGAGCGUUAAUCGGAAUUACUGGGCGUAAAGCGCAUGCAGGUGGUUUGUUAAGUCAGAUGUGAAAGCCCCGGGGCUCAACCUCGGAAUUGCAUUUGAAACUGGCAGACUAGAGUACUGUAGAGGGGGUAGAAUUUCAGGUGUAGCGGUGAAAUGCGUAGAGAUCUGAAGGAAUACCAGUGGCGAAGGCGGCCCCCUGGACAAAGACUGACGCUCAGAUGCGAAAGCGUGGGGAGCAAACAGGAUUAGAUACCCUGGUAG
rnacentral:rRNA from 1 species